rnacentral:rRNA from 1 species
CCCUUAGAUGUCCUGGACCGCACGCGUGCUACACUGACACUUACACCGAGUUUUUCCGGCCCCGAGAGGUGGCUGGUAAUCAGUAAUAGGUGUCGUGAUGGGGAUAGAUCUUUGGAAUUAUUGAUCUUGAACGAGGAAUGCCUAGUAAUCGUAGGUCAUCAGCCUGCGAUGAUUACGUCCCUGCCCUUUGUACACACCGCCCGUCGCUCCUACCGAUUUCGAGUGGUCCGGUGAACCUUUCGGACAGAGAGAGUCUCGUACAAUCUCUGAAAGUCAAGUAAACCACAUCACUUAGAGGAAGGAGAAGUCGUAACA